CGGGGGGCGGAGCCAGGCGGGCACGAGGCGGCGGCAUGGAGGGUGAGGGGGGGGACAGGGGGGACAUUUGGGGACAUUUGGGGACAUUGGGGGGGGGGCUUUGGGGACAUUUAGGACAUGGAGGAGACAUUGGGGACAUUGGGGGAGGCGGGGAUGUGGCGGGAGAUUGGGGACAUGGGGACAUGGCGGGGAUGGGGAUGGGCGGGGGGACACGUGGGGGACAUUGGGGGGGGGCUUUGGGGACACUUUGGGGACAUUGGGGGGGGCUUUGGGGACACUGUGGGGAUUUCGGGGACAUUGCGGGGUCUGGGGAUGAUGGGGGCGCGGGUGUGUGGCGGGAGAUUGGGGACAUUGAGAGGACGGGGGGACACGCGGGGACAUUGGGGGGACAUUGGGGACACGGAGGGGACAUUGGGGACAUCGGGGGGACACGCGGGGCAGGGGGGGGGGGGGGGAGGGGCGGGGGCGGGGGGUGGUGGGGGGGGAGGGGGGGGGGGGGGGGGGGGGGGGGGGGGGGGGGGGGGGGGGGGGGGACAUUGGGGGACAUUGGGGACACGGAGGGGACACUGGGGACAUCGGGGGGACACGGGGACAUGGAGGGGUCUGGGGGGGACAUUGGUGGGUCUGGGGGACACUGGGGACAUUGAGGGGUCAGGGGGACGCAGAGGGGACCUGGCGUGUCCCCAGGGCCACCCGCUGAGGUGACACCGCCCGCUGUGUCCCCAGGGCCACCCCCCCGGUUCCGCUGUCCCCCCGAGUUCGAGGCCGCGCCCGGGGGGGUCCCCAUGGGGGGUCCCCAAGCGGAGCUGUGGCUGAUCCGCGCCCCGAUGGACUUCUGUCCCCAAAGCCUCGAGGGCUGCCCGGUGCCCCUGAGCGGCCUCGGGCGGCUCCGUGCCGGUGGUGACAACGCCGGUGACAACGGUGACACCGAGGCCACCUACGUGCUGCGGGCCGGGCCGGGGGGGCGCUGUCCCCUGCUGCUGUCCCCAGUGUCCCCGGGGGGGUCCCUGCGCUGCGCCCCCCCCCUGCGGGGGUCCCUGAGCAUCACCCGCGGCUUGGGGACAGCGCCGGUGGCGCUUGGGGACACCGAGGGGACAGCGGAGGGGCCGGGACCCCCGAGGGGACGAAGAGGAGGAAGAAGAGGAAGAAGGAGAAGAGGGAGGGGCAGGAGUGACCCCCACCCCACCCCGGUGUCACCUGCGGUGUCACUUUUGUCACCGUUAAAUGUCCUUUAUUACAAAAAAAAAAGGAAUUUUUGGGGUUUUUUGGGGGGUUUUGGGGGAGUUUGGGAAUUUUUUUGGGGGUUUUUGGGGGAGUUUUGGGGGGGAGUUUGGGGAAUUUUUUGGGGGGGGGUUUUGGGGGGAGUUUUGGGGGAGUUUGGGGAAUUUUUUGGGGUUUUUUUUGGGGGGGUUUUGCGGGGAGUUUUGGGGGAGUUUUGGGGGUCUUUGGGAUUUUUUUGGGGGGAUUUUUAAGGGAUUUUUGGGGUUUAUUUUGAGAUUUUGGGAUCUUGGGGGGAGUUUUGGGGACUUUUUGGAGUUUUGUGGAGCUUUUGGGGGAUUUUGGGGUUUUGGGUGAGAUUUUUGGAAGAUUUUUUGGGGAUUUUGUGGGAUUUUUGGGGAGAUUUUUGAGGAUUUUGGGGGGUGUAUUUUGGGGGAUUUUUUGGGGAUUUUGGGGUACUUUUGGGAGAUGUUUCUGAUUUUUGGGGUGAAUUUUGUGGAAUUCUGGAGGGGAUUUUUUGGGAGAUUUUGGGGAUUUUUUUUUUUUUUGAGAUUUUUGGGGGAUUAUUUGGGGUAUUUUUGGGAGAUUUUUUUGGGGUGAUUUUUAAGGAUUUCGGGGCUCAUCAGCGCCUUGAGGAAAAGGCCGUCUUGCAGGACAUCUAAGAGGCGCUUGUUUGGGGACAGAGGGACAGGAGCACACCCGGUGUCCCCAAUCCCCCCAAUGUCCCCAAUGUCCCCAAAUGUCCCCAGUGCCCCCAAUCUCUCCAGUGUCCCCAGCGUCCCCCAAUGUCCCCGAAUCCCCAGUGUCCCCAAUGUUCCCAAAUGUCCCC
ensembl:lncRNA